rnacentral:lncRNA from 10 species
GUCUCGCUCUGUCGCCCAGGCUGGAGUGCAGUGGCGCAAUCUCAGCUCCCUGCAACCUCCGCCUCCCAGGUUCAAGUGAUUCUUCUGCCUCAGCCUCCCGAGUAGCUGGGACUACAGGUUUUCAGCUGCUACUAAAGAUAAUGAGCAUAAGCGUUCACUGACCAAGACUCCAGCCAGAAAGUCUGCACAUGUGACCGUGUCUGGGGGCACCCCAAAAGGCGAGGCUGUGCUUGGGACACACAAAUUAAAGACCAUCACGGGGAAUUCUGCUGCUGUUAUUACCCCAUUCAAGUUGACAACUGAGGCAACGCAGACUCCAGUCUCCAAUAAGAAACCAGUGUUUGAUCUUAAAGCAAGUUUGUCUCGUCCCCUCAACUAUGAACCACACAAAGGAAAGCUAAAACCAUGGGGGCAAUCUAAAGAAAAUAAUUAUCUAAAUCAACAUGUCAACAGAAUUAACUUCUACAAGAAAACUUACAAACAAC